CGACUCCAAAGACACGUCACAUCAGGAUCGGUCGGCGGCGGAUUAGGUCGUGGCGGUGUAACGGACCACCAAGCCGAAGAUCCGUAAGGGCCAUGAAAGUGGUUGCCUGAGAGGGAAACUGAGACGCAGUUCCCAGCCCUACGGGGUGCAGCAGUCGGGAAAACUUCGCAAUGCACGCAAGUGUGACGAGGGGAUUCUCAGUGCUUAGGUUUAACCUAGGCUUUUGCCAAGAGCAAGAAUCUUGGCGAAUAAGUGGUGGGCAAGACUGGUGCCAGCCGCCGCGGUAACCCCAGCGCCACGAGUGGGAAUCGCUAUUAUUGGGUCUAAAGCAUCCGUAGCCGGUUUGUUAAAUGUUCUGUGAAAUCGUGGCGCUCAACGUCACGGUGUGCAGAGCACACUGACAAACUAGGGACCAGGAAAGGUAUUCGGUAUUCCGGGGGGAGCGGUAAAAUGUGAUAAUCCUCGGAGGACCACCAAUGGCGAAGGCAGAAUACUAGAAUGGAUCCGACGGUGAGGGAUGAAAGCUAGGGGAGCGAUCCGGAUUAGAUACCCGAGUAGUCCUAGCCGUAAACGCUGUCAGCCAGAUGUUGCACAAUCUUCGUGAUUGUGCAGUGUCGCAACGAAGGUGUUAAGCUGACCACCUGGGGAGUAAGGUCGCAAGACUGAAACUUAAAGGAAUUGGCGGGGGAGCAUUACCCGGGGUGCGGCGUGCGGUUCAAUCGAAUUCAACGCCGAGAACCUCACCAGGGGCGACGGCAGGAUGAUACUCAGUCUGAAGGGCUUAGUGGACGAGCCGAGAGGAGGUGCAUGGCCGGCGUCAGCUCGUGCCGUGAGGUGUCCUGUUAAGUCAGGCAACGAGCGAGACCUGUAUUUUUAGUUGCUCACGGGCCCGCAAGGGUGACCGCGCACACUAUGAAGACUGCCUGAAACA
rnacentral:rRNA from 1 species